rnacentral:misc_RNA from 1 species
CCCUGUCCAGCAGCGUUCCAUUCAAGCUCUGAUCCAGAGUUGUCCUUUGUAAUUUGCUCAACUCUUGAAAUAGAGAAAAGCAGAGGAUCGUCAUCUUGUACCAACAACUCCUCCACGGGAAACAUCAGAGUAAUCACUCUUUAGAUUCAGCAACAGUUCCAGAAUCAUAGCCAACACCUAUAUAUCCUUUCUUUAACACCCUCUCACAUUGCUUAUGGCUCACUGUCUUCUCACCUUCAAAAUUAUCAUCAUAAGGACACUUGGGUGAUUUUAUUC